GAACACUAAAGAUAUCAGUGUUCGGAAACAUGACAUUUUGUCUCAAUUAAAAAAACAUGGAUACAAAUUAAUGUAAAAGAAGUGCUUAAUUAAAAUUCAUAUAGUUUCUUAAGAGAGAGAGAGUCCACUUAAACUUGGUUCCAUAGGAGAGCUUCAUAAAAGAGAUGGGAUCCAGAAUGAAACUAGGUAGGAUUAAGAGAGCAUUCUAGGAAGAGAGAAGUAGAAGCAAAACAAGGGGGUAAAAAGGCAGCUGUGUAUCUUUUAUAAUUGAAUGGUAUUUUUUGUUUGUUUGCUUGCUUUGUGGUGUGUGUGUUUUUUUUUUUUUUCGGUCUGGGCCUCUCAUAUUUUUAUGGAAAUGUGGAUGGAAAUAGUUAAUCUGCAGGUUGGAAUCAGCCAGUGUGGCACAUAAUCUGAAAUUCUGGAUAUGUAAACUCUCAGCUAAUGCCUGUGCUGCUGGUCCAAGGACCACACUUGGCUUAGGCAAGUCUGACUCCUUAGAAUCAAAACAUGAAUAUGAGCAUAUUUACUGAAGCAAUGGAGAAGAGUGAUGUGUUGGAAAAUGAUUCAAGGAAAAGCUGUUCCAACUUCUGGGCUCUCCACUUCCCAGAUUUUUAUUCUGUACCCCUGGUGCUGGACUGAAGAAACUGUAUUUUAAUUAGCACCUGGUGAGUCUGAUUUCUUGCAAACCCCUACUCAGGAGUUACGUUUUCCUUGAAGCAGCAGGACAUCAACACAGUUGAUGAGCAUGAAUGGAGGCAUCUGACAACUCCUCUGCAGGUAAUGUUAAAAGAAGUGGCACAUGAGAGAAUACCUAGCACAGUGCUAGUUACUAAGUUCAUGACGAGGAUCAACAAUAGUUUCUUGCCUCCCCAUCUAGAUGGAAGUCAGAGCCCAGUGCUCACACAGAAGGUUCUGCAUGGUGCCCCUUGUUGUGUGUGGAUGAAACACACCUUCUCCCAACUUGGGGCUCAUGGAUAUUCUAAGCUCACAGACACCACAAGUUUAUUUUUUAAUUAAAAAAGAAAAGUUUAAAUUUUCUUCUAGAAAAAGAAAAGUCCAAACCUUUUUCACAGGAAACCCAAAACUGAAUUAGAAACCAGCACCUCAUGCACACAGCUAUCUUAGUAUUUUUCCAUUUUAGAAGUGAAGCAAACGUGGCCCAGACUAAAUUAAAGGGAGCAUAGUGGAGAUGAAAGCUGUACUCAAAAGGCACAUUUACCUUCAUUAAGUUAUUUUUUUAUUCAAACCAUUUCAGUUCAUUUUGGGGAAAUCAAAAGAACUAACUGUUCUUCAAAAUAUAAUGCAUGCAUAUAGGUGCAGAAUUCUUAUACCUUUGUGGAUAUAAGCAAAUGAAUAGAUAUCCCAGAAUGCAGUAAUUCAACAUAAUUCACAAUACCUCCAUCUUCACAUAACAAUAAUACUUUCUAAGAAUGUAUCGUUAAUUGUUAUCAACAACAAACAAAAACAUUUGUUGGGUACUG